CGGAGUUAGUUCGAGCUAUUCGCUUGCAGAAGAUAGAAGAAUUGAGAAGCAAAGGGUUGGAACCGUAUGCAUAUAAGUGGGACAGGACUCACUCUGCUAAUCAGCUGCAAGAGACUUAUAAAAAUUUAGAAAAUGGCGAAGAAAUGAAUGGUGAGCAAGACAAUGUAUCAAUAGCCGGAAGAAUUGUGGCUCGUCGAGCAUUUGGAAAGCUUGCAUUUCUCACUCUAAGAGAUGAUUCUAGGACAAUUCAGCUUUAUUGUGAAAAGGCGAUAUUUUUAAGUGAUCAGUUUGAC